UUACAGACUGACAAUAACACUCCCCCAGGUUACAGACUGACAAUAACACUCCCACAGGUUACAGACUGACAAUAACACUCCCGCAGGUUACAGACUGACUAUAACACUCCCACAGGUUACAGACUGACAAUAACACUCCCGCAGGUUACAGACUGACAAUAACACUCCCCCAGGUUACAGACUGACAAUAACACUCCCGCAGGUUACAGACUGACAACACUCCCACAGGUUACAGACUGACAAUAACACUCCCACAGGUUACAGACUGACAACACUCCCACAGGUUACAGACUGACAAUAACACUCCCACAGGUUACAGACUGACAAUAACACUCCCGCAGGUUACAGACUGACAAUAACACUCCCGCAGGUUACAGACUGACAAUAACACUCCCACAGGUUACAGACUGACAAUAACACUCCCGCAGGUUACAGACUGACAAUAACACUCCCACAGGUUACAGACUGACAAUAACACUCCCGCAGGUUACAGACUGACAAUAACACUCCCACAGGUUACAGACUGACAAUAACACUCCCACAGGUUACAGACUGACAAUAACACUCCCGCAGGUUACAGACUGACAAUAACACUCCCGCAGGUUACAGACUGACAAUAACACUCCCGCAGGUUACAGACUGACAAUAACACUCCCACAGGUUACAGACUGACAAUAAACACUCCCGCAGGUCGCAAACUGGGAACAUUUAAAAAUACAUUUUGUCACGGCGUAUCAAGUCACAUAUGAAGUCCCUCUUUGAUGAGAGCAGAGAACUGGGUUGAACUCUAACCACACCAGGUAGUGUUACGUUCUGUAGCCUGGUUCCAGUAUCUGCUUGUGCCGUCUCCUUUACGGUGUCAAGUAACCACAGUUGGAAUUGGCAACACAGCACAAAACAGAUCGGGCAACAGGCUAUUGUUACUGUGGAUCAGACAUCCCUUUUAACUUGUGAGACAACAUCCACCUCCUUAAACUCUGAUACAAAAUGACGGUCCUCCACAAUGACUUAGUACCGUAAUACCCUGUAUAUAGCCUCCACAUUGACUCUGUACCGUAAUACCCUGUAUAUAGCCUCCACAAUGACUUAGUACCGUAAUACCCUGUAUAUAGCCUCCACAUGACUCUGUACCGUAAUACCCUGUAUAUAGCCUCCACAUUGACUCUGUACCGUAAUACCCUGUAUAUAGCCUCCACAUUGACUCUGUACCGUAAUACCCUGUAUAUAGCCUCCACAUUGACUCUGUACCGUAAUACCCUGUAUAUAGCCUCCACAUUGACUCUGUACCGUAAUACCCUGUAUAUAGCCUCCACAUUGACUCUGUACCGUAAUACCCUGUAUAUAGCCUCCACAUUGACUCUGUACCGUAAUACCCUGUAUAUAGCCUCCACAUUGACUUAGUACCGGUACCCCCUGUAUAUAGCCUCCACAUUGACUCUAACAGUACCCCUGUAUAUAGCCUCCACAUUGACUCUGUACCGGUGCCCCCUGUAUAUAGCCUCCACAUUGACUCUGUACCAGUAACCCCUGUAUAUAGCCUCCACAUUCACUUAGUACCAGUAGCCCUGUAUAUAGCCUCCACAUUGACUCUGUACCGGUACCCCCUGUAUAUAGCCUCCACAUUCACUUAGUACCAGUAGCCCUGUAUAUAGCCUCCACAUUCACUUAGUACCAGUAGCCCUGUAUAUAGCCUCCACAUUGACUCUGUACCAGUACCCCCUGUAUAUAGCCUCCACAUUGACUCUGUACCAGUACCCCUGUAUAUAGCCUCCACAUUGACUCUGUACCAGUACCCCCUGUAUAUAGCCUCCACAUUGACUCUGUACCAAUACCCCCUGUAUAUAGCCUCCACAUUGACUCUGUACCAAUACCCCCUGUAUAUAGCCUCCACAUUGACUCUGUACCAAUACCCCAUUUAUAUAGCCUCCACAUUGACUCUACCAAUACCCCCUGUAUAUAGCCUCCACAUUGACUCUACCAAUACCCCCUGUAUAUAGCCUCCACAUUGACUCUACCGGUACCCCCUGUAUAUAGCCUCCACAUUGACUCUGUACCAAUACCCCCUGUAUAUAGCCUCCACAUUGACUCUGUACCAAUACCCCCUGUAUAUAGCCUCCACAUUGACUCUACCAAUACCCCCUGUAUAUAGCCUCCACAUUGACUCUGUACCAAUACCCCCUGUAUAUAGCCUCCACAUUGACUCUACCAAUACCCCCUGUAUAUAGCCUCCACAUUGACUCUGUACCAAUACCCCUGUAUAUAGCCUCCACAUUGACUCUGUACCAAUACCCCCUGUAUAUAGCCUCCACAUUGACUCUGUACCAAUACCCCCUGUAUAUAGCCUCCACAUUGACUCUGUACCAAUACCCCCUGUAUAUAGCCUCCACAUUGACUCUGUACCAAUACCCCUGUAUAUAGCCUCCACAUUGACUCUGUACCAAUACCCCCUGUAUAUAGCCUCCACAUUGACUCUGUACCGUAAUACCCUGUAUAUAGCCUCCACAUUGAC